UGGGGAAUAUUGCGCAAUGGGCGAAAGCCUGACGCAGCCACGCCGCGUGAGCGAUGAAGGCCUUCGGGUCGUAAAGCUCUGUGGGGAGAGACGAAGAAAGCCUGUGAAGAGCGGGCCUUGACGGUAUCUCCUUAGCAAGCACCGGCUAACUCCGUGCCAGCAGCCGCGGUAAUACGGAGGGUGCAAACGUUGCUCGGAAUCAUUGGGCGUAAAGCGCACGUAGGCUGCGGCAUAAGCGGGAUGUGAAAGCCUGAGGCUCAACCUCAGAAGUGCAUCCCGAACUGUGUCGCUUGAAUCUCGGAGGGGGACAGAGAAUUCCCGGUGUAGAGGUGAAAUUCGUAGAUAUCGGGAGGAAUACCAGUGGCGAAGGCGCUGUCCUGGACGAAGAUUGACGCUGAGGUGCGAAAGCGUGGGGAGCAAACAGG
rnacentral:rRNA from 1 species